rnacentral:rRNA from 1 species
AUGCCGAUGUUUGUUAAUUUGCUGUCGGUAGCCAAUAGCCCAAUACACAACUCUAUACCAGCUGCUCGAAUAUACGCAUGGAGGUGCUCUGCUCUGCCUCUGUACCAUUCCGUUGUCGUUGACCACAAACAAGUAGAGCUGGUUGGAGUGGGGGAAGUCGCCAUGGCCGAAGCCAUCGUCCAAAGCGCAUGCGCAAAGCUCAGAUCCGCCAUCGGAGAUGAGACCACGGCGGGUAGGAAACUCACCAGCGGCCUGCUGGAAGAAAUGAAGGAGGCGCUGGAGGCCGUAGAUUUGCGGCUCCUGGGUGAGGCCGAGAGGCUGCUGGUGCGGGGGAUGGAACCGCGGUCAGAGGAGGAGCCGGUGCGGGAGUGGGUGAGGCGGGUGAGGAAGAACUGUACUCAAACUCAGAUCUGA